AGAGUUUGAUCCUGGCUCAGGAUGAACGCUGGCGGCGUGCUUAACACAUGCAAGUCGAGCGAAGCACUUUCGAUGAUCCUUCGGGUGAUUUGAUUGUGACUGAGCGGCGGACGGGUGAGUAACGCGUGAGUAACCUGCCUCAUACAGGGGAAUAACAGUUAGAAAUGACUGCUAAUGCCGCAUAAGCGCACAGGGCCGCAUGGCCCGGUGUGAAAAACUCCGGUGGU
rnacentral:rRNA from 1 species